GGGAUUUUGUGGUGCUUGAUAGAGACGGGCGGCGGGGGAGUAUGUGUGACGUCGCUGUCAGCUGGAGCGGGUGAGCGAAGGAGGAUUGGAGGAGUGUGGUGGGAGACAGUGUGGGGUUCGCCUGCGGCGAAGCGGGUGAGUGCGGAACCGGUGAGUCGGAGGGAGCGGAGGUAGUCGGAAUGGGCAGAGGCAAGGUGGUGGCGG
rnacentral:misc_RNA from 1 species